GCGGGCGUGGCGGAAUGGCAGACGCGCCAGAUUUAGGAUCUGGUGCCGCGAGGCGUAUGAGUUCGAGUCUCUUCGCCCGCACCA
rnacentral:tRNA from 1 species